rnacentral:lncRNA from 1 species
UCAGCUGCUCGCCUGCUGCCUUCAGAGUGCAAAACUGAUUCAGCUUCCGUUGAUCUGUAAAAAAUGCUGACCUGACAUGCCAAGACCUUCAGUACAUGACUAAAAGGGUGGGGAGGAAGUGGAAGCAGAGCUGCAGGAAGAGGCUUGCAGGAGAUAAAAGAUAGCUUCACUGUGGGUCACAAAUAGAGACUCUAUGAGUAGGCGCUUCUGGAGACAUGAUGAUGAUGAUGAUGAUUAAGAAGAUGACUAUGAUAAUAAUAUCACUUUCCUGGCUACCAUAAGAAUAGGCAAACUCUUAAGAUAUGAUGUUCUCUUAGCUCAAGAACAGAUCAAAGGAAAGCAUGCUUAAUUUGCAUAUUUUAAAGCUCUAUUACAGGACAGAAGCAGCCCAUUCACUUUUAGCUGUUCAGGAUUCUGUUCAGGGGUUACCUGUGAUGACUUUCCCUUCUGAGUCCCUAAAUCCCACUAUUAUUAUAAUAUCGCACCAUACUAUAAAAUACGAGUCCCGAGAAGAGAGAACUGUGUUAUGCCCUUUUCUCAUUUGCAUCAAUGGACUGCUGAGAAGAAAAUAGACCCUAAAAUAAGAGAGCAGGCUGAACAAAUCCCAGUAAGUCCCACACACAGGGUUUCUUUGCCCAUGAAGAUUCAAAAUUUUCAAAAAAUCCUGGGACAUAUAUGAUACCAUUGGUCCUGCUCUUAGAAUGAAGAAACUGGGAUUUGCCCAAGGCCACACAGAGCCUGUGAAGGCCAGAGCCAGGGUGAGUGAAUGCACCAUGUGUGUGUACAAAUGGUACAGUUCAGCUCAGGCAUGGCCGACGGAGAAGACAUGUUGUGUAUAUCAAAAGAAAAGAAAUGAGAAGAGAGAUGAAGGAGGUAAAGUGCAGAGGGAAAGGGAAACUGGGAAGGAAAAAAUUCAUUAUUCUACGAAGAGAAAUCAGACUUGUAUGAUUUUUAGCAAUACAACCAUUUCUAGAGACUUUGUUAUCUAGAGUAACCUGUACUUUGGUAAGUGAUAUUAUAUUUUCAACUACACUAAAAUUUUCCUUCUUCAGUUACAGUAAAGUAAACAAUCUAUUCUGUAAAACAUAAUUUAAGCCUUUAAAGAAGAAAAUAGCAAAUUAAUCAACGUCUGAAUCACACACUACUUUGAGAAGUAUAGAUUGAUUGCUUCAAGAAAAUACUGCAAUGUAACAAGUUUUAAUUAAAAUUAUACUGAAAGAGUAUUUCC